UUCAGAGGAACCUGUCCUAUAAUUGAUGAUCCACGAUUUAAGUUACUUAUUUUAUUAAUUUGCAUAUCGCCGUAGGUUGAAUAUUUUACAAGAAUAAUAAUGUUCAAGAUUUUUUAAAAGAAAAUAAAUCAGGUCAAGAUGUAGUUUAUAGAUAAGAAGAGAUGGGUUACAAUAAAAUUAUUUAAGCGGAUUAAUUUUUUAAAAAUUUUAUGAAGUCGGAUUUGAUAGUAAUUUUAAUUAAUUUAUUAAGAUGAUUUUAGCUCUAAAAUAUGUACAUAUCGCCCGUCACUUUCACUACAAAGUGGAAUAAGUCGUAACAUAGUAGAUGUACUGGAAAGUGUAUCUAGAACGUCAAAUUAGAGCUUGUUAUAAAGCAUUUUAUUUACAUUAAAAAGUUUAUUGUGAAAUUCAAUAUAAUUUGAGCUAUUUAUAUUAUUAGUAAUUUUAUUUCAUAUUUUAUUUUACAAAAAUAAUUUAUUGUUUUAUUAUUGAAAAAGAACAAAUUUAUUUUAUAAUAGGGAAUUAGUACUGUGAAGGAAAUAUUCUUAGUUUUUAAAAAAAUAAUUAAAUUUUAGUACCUUGUGCAUCAGGGCUUAUUAAAUAAAUAUUAUUUACUUAAUUUUCUCGAAUUUAAAAGAGCUAUAAAAUUAUAAUUUUUAUUGUGUAAUAAAUAUUAUGAAUAAUUUUAUUGUAAUGAAACGUUAUUCGUUUUUAAAUAUAUCUAGUUUUUUAAGAAAAAAAUUUAAUUUUAUCAGUAAGAAUAUUUAUUUAAUUUAUUAAGUAAAUAUUAUUAUUGUUAAAUAUUUUUAGGGAUGAGCUUAAAAAUAAAAUUUUAUAAAUAAAUUAUUACUAUUAGAUAAAUAGGAUUAUAAAUUUUCAUUUUUAAUAGUAUGUUACAAUUAACUUAAUAAUAAAUAUUAAUUUAAAUUUAUUUUAAAUUUUUUAUUAAAAUAAUUAUUUUAAUAAUAAAAAUAAGGUAAUAAUGAUGAGAUUAGUAUAAUUUUUUGUAUUUUUAUAGGGAUUUUAGGUUAAGUAAAGGAACUCGGCAAAUAAUUUUUCACCUGUUUAUCAAACCGGUGUAAGCCAGGUUGGUUUCUAUCUCGAAAUAGUUAAAAUAUUUUAGUACGAAAGGACCUAGAUAUUUGGUUAAUAAUUUAAUUGAUGAAUAAUAUUAGUUAUUUUGGCAGAAUAGUGCAAUAGAUUUAGAAUCUUUAUAUGUAAUUUUUUUUACAAAUAAUACUUGAUAUUUAAGGAUUUAUUUAUAAUAUUAAUUUCUAUAUUAAUUUUAUCUUUUAGAGUAAUGGUUGGUGUGGCUUUUUUAACCUUAUUAGAACGAAAGGUAUUAGGAUAUAUUCAAAUUC
rnacentral:rRNA from 1 species